rnacentral:lncRNA from 1 species
AGCGAUCUUCCUCCUUGAUCAAUUGUCAUAGACCCGGCACUCAUCCGUCUCUGGAUUGUCCUUGCAAAACGCCUCCAGCGGAUCCUUGCCCUUGUCCUUGUCCCUCUGGUGAGACGCGGCGGCGCUCACCUCCUCCACCUCGUCCCACGCCACCACGCACUCGGCCGACGCUGGAUUCUCCGCGCACACCUCCUCCGCCUGCUUGAUGCUCUCCUCCACCUUACCCUCCAGCGGGCUCGCGCACGCGAUCGUCGUCGCCAUCCUCCUCCUCCGCGACACCAAUCGAAUCCCCCCCAUUCCCCCUCGCGCCGCCGCGCAGGAGCUCCUCCUGGGAAUCGCGGAGAUCUGCUGCUGCUGCUGCAAGAAUUGGGGCUGCUGGAGCGCCAUCGUUGUAAUCGCGAUGGACGCCAUGAGCGCACGAGCUAUCGAUCGAUGCGAGGAUCUCUGUCC